UGACUGCUAUCGGAUUGAUACUAAGCCAUGCGAGUCAUUGUAGCAAUACAAGGCAGACGGCUCAGUAACGCGUAGUCACCUAACCUAUGGACGGGAAUAACCUCGGGAAACUGAGAAUAAUGCCCGAUAGAACACUAUACCUGGAAUGGUUUGUGUUCCAAAUGAUUUAUCGCCGUAGGAUGGGACUGCGGCCUAUCAGUUUGUUGGUGAGGUAAUGGCCCACCAAGACUAUUACAGGUACGGGCUCUGAGAGGAGUAGCCCGGAGAUGGGUACUGAGACACGGACCCAGGCCCUAUGGGGCGCAGCAGGCGAGAAAACUUUGCAAUGUGCGAAAGCACGACAAGGUUAAUCCGAGUGGUUUGUGCUAAACGAACCUUUUGUCGGUCCUAGAAACACCGAUGAAUAAGGGGUGGGCAAGUUCUGGUGUCAGCCGCCGCGGUAAAACCAGCACCUCAAGUGGUCAGGAUGAUUAUUGGGCCUAAAGCAUCCGUAGCCGGCGCUGUAAGUUUUCGGUUAAAUCUGUACGCUCAACGUACAGGCCUGCCGGGAAUACUGCAGCGCUAGGGAGUGGGAGAGGUAGACGGUACUCGGUAGGAAGGGGUAAAAUCCUUUGGAUCUAUUGAUGACCACCUGGUGGGCGAAAGGCGGGUCUACC
rnacentral:rRNA from 1 species